UUGCAUGGGAUUAGGAACAAACCUAAAGUAAUGUAUUUUCUCUUGAUCAUUAUAUAUAGUUUAAUCUUUCAAAAAAAGUGUUGAUGAUUUAUCGAUAUUUUUUAUGAAUAGGUGGAGCAUGUUUCGACAGAAAUCACAUUAUUCCCUUGAUGUUAAGUAGGUACGUUUCUUUUUCAUUUAAUUGACAAGAAGCUAGUGUGAAUAUAUGUUGGCAAAGAUAGCAUUUUUGUAUUGGGUAAAAGCCACUAAUCAGAAAUAUAGCAUAUAUGUUGAGUAAGCUUAUGGAAUCUUCAUAAGGUUUUGUGUCUAAACAUAACUAUGAUAUGACAUUUACGGGCAUGAAUAAGGAUUUUUAGCAUAGUCCAAGACCUUUUAUUAUUAUGCUUUUACCAUUAAACGAUUUUUCCUUUAUUAAGUUGUUUAUUGAUAUGUGACAUUUUUCAGGAUGUUGAUCCACUUUCUCGUUUGUUGUUCAGAAUUGUUGCUGCUAUAGAGUUCGCAUCAUGUUUGAAGUUUGUUUCUUUCUAAAUGAGUAAAGAUUAAGUUGAAGGUUGUGUUAAAUGUGGCUGAAUACAAUUUUGUCUUUAAGGGGAGAGCAAUUGGAGUUUGGAAGUAGAAAAAUAUUAUGCAUUCUGUUAUCGACUAAUUGAGUUUUGUUGGAUUUUUUGUAUCAGAUAUUUUUUUUCUUCGUAUUUAUGCAACCUUUAACUUUAUAUAAUUUAUGUCUAUUCUAUGCAUGC
rnacentral:lncRNA from 1 species